GCUUACGGCCAUACCAGCCCAAGAACGCCUGAUCUUGUCUGAUCUCGGAAGCUAAGAAGGCUUGGGCCUGGUUAGUACUUGGACGGGAGACCUCCUGGGAAUACCAGGUGCUUUAACAG
ensembl:rRNA 5S_rRNA 5S ribosomal RNA